ensembl:lncRNA
GGCACGACCAGCUAGAUGAGCGCAUCUCUGGCACUGAGGCAAGAGCAGACUGAGGUUUGCCAUCAGCAGCUGGGCCUGCAGAAUGAGAUUGAGAAGAUGAGUUCAAUUCAGAGCCACAGACAGAACCGAUCUGCAGCAAGUCAAAUGAAUGAAUGCUUCUCUACAGAUGCUGUAACAGGUGGUGUUGAGUGUCAGAGUGACCGCAGCGUUCAGACAGUCCAGUGAAUCCUUCAGGACACAUCUAAGGAUCUGACGUGUCUUGAGAGUCAGUCAUGGCCCUAUAAAGAGGCCUUGUGUUGAUCACCUCCACCAGCUGUUCUCAAAGACGUCUGUCUCUACCUGAGCAGACAUGGAGCCCAUCAGCCAAACGGUGAGCGUGAGGGUCUCAGACGCGGUUUACCCCCGCAGGCCGCUCCGUGUGAUGCCCAGAGGAGCCUCCUCUCAUUUCGUCGGGAGCACCAUUGUGAUUCUGUCCUCGUAUGCCGUUGCAACUCUGGCCAUGAACUGCGGCAAAAAGAUCCAGGAGGAGAGAUUGAAAGCAUCUGAAAACUGAGUCUGAGUGCCUCAUCAGACGCUGCUGUUAUCUGCUACAGACGUGAACCUUGGAGAGACUUUCUAUCUUAAAGUUUGUCACACUUUGGCAACGUACUUGUCCUCAAGGUUUCGGGUCGAAACAUCCAUGCAAACUUUAAAGAGAGGUUUUUCACUGUGAUCCUGCUGAACAAUUAAGCCAAGAACAGGGAAACUAUCACGAUUACUGAGCAUCAGUUCAUCUCAAGACACUGGAAAAAUAAUCAAAAUGAGGCCCGGAAGCAGAUUUUAUAGGCCUUUUUACUGAUAUUUGAAUUUAAUGAGUUUGUUUAUUUCAUUCCCAUAGAGAAGCACUGUGAUACAUAGACAGUUUUAUAAAAUCAAGUGUCAUUUGUUUAUUGCAAUGUACAGAAAUGAUUAUAAAAUGUUUAAUACAUUGUGUAAAGAAGCUUGAUUGACUUUGCUUUAUUGGUCGUGCACUUCAUAAAUCAUAUAAUAUUAUUUCACAUGAAUGGCAGAGCAAACAGAAGUCAGUGAUUUAAUAAUAUCGGGAUUCAUUUGCACACUACAAGAGCAUACCGUUUCUGUUUUGUUUAUUUAUUUUUAUUUAUGUUUUUUUACAACUGCAGAUUCCUUCAGAAUAAAAGGUCAUUUAAAAACUA